GAUGAACGCUGGCGGCGUGCCUAAUACAUGCAAGUCGAGCGAAUGGAUUAAGAGCUUGCUCUUAUGAAGUUAGCGGCGGACGGGUGAGUAACACGUGGGUAACCUGCCCAUAAGACUGGGAUAACUCCGGGAAACCGGGGCUAAUACCGGAUAACAUUUUGAACCGCAUGGUUCGAAAUUGAAAGGCGGCUUCGGCUGUCACUUAUGGAUGGACCCGCGUCGCAUUAGCAAGUUGGUGAGGUAACGGCCCACCAAGGCAACGAUGCGUAGCCGGCCUGAGAGGGUGAUCGGCCACACUGGGACUGAGACACGGCCCAGACUCCUACGGGAGGCAGCAGUAGGGAAUCUUCCGCAAUGGACGAAAGUCUGACGGAGCAACGCCGCGUGAGUGAUGAAGGCUUUCGGGUCGUAAAACUCUGUUGUUAGGGAAGAACAAGUGCUAGUUGAAUAAGCUGGCACCUUGACGGUACCUAACCAGAAAGCCACGGCUAACUACGUGCCAGCCGCCGCUGUAA
rnacentral:rRNA from 1 species